rnacentral:tRNA from 1 species
UCGCGGGGGUGCUGUACGUCGGGCUCGCGCUCACGUCGCGCGGGACCCGGGUGGUCGAGUUCAACGCCCGGUUCGGCGACCC